rnacentral:rRNA from 1 species
GGUACAACUCACCUGCCGAAGCAACUAGCCNUGAAAAUGGAUGGCGCUCUAGCGUCGUGCCUAUACCGGGCCGUCAACGGCGAAGUGGGCAACUGCCGCAAGGCAAGUGCCGUUAUGCCUUGACGAGUAGGAGGGUCGCGGCGGUGUGCGCAGAAGGGUCGGGGCGUGAGCCCGCCUGGAGCCGCCGUCGGCGCAGAUCUUGGUGGUAGUAGCAAAUACUCUAGCGAGGGCCUGGAGGACUGACGUGGAGAAGGGUUUCUUGUGAACAGCCGUUGCACAAGAGUCAGUCGACCCUAAGCCCUAGGAGAAAUCCGAUGUUGAUGGGUGGCUAUACAAAAUACCACGUUCUGUUUGUUGCGAAAGCCACCAGGUACUGAAAGUUCAGCCUCUGCGGGCGAGGACUUCGGUUUUGGGAGGCACAGCGUUUCAACCUGAGGAAGGCUACAGCAUGCGAAAACCCGGUACUUCGGUGCCCGUGGCGCUGCUUGUUUUGCUAGCUGCCCUUAGUCUUGAACAAAGUCGUGACAACUGCUCCUGUCGGGCAAAAGGGAAUCCGGUUCCUAUUCCGGAACCCGGCUGCGGAACCGUCACUCUGCGGGCACUCGCCUGCGAGCGCUCGUCGGGGUAACCCAAACUGGCCCGGAGACGCCGGCGGGGGGUCUGGAAAGAGUUUUCUUUUCUUUAUAAGCGUUCGAGUACCCUGGAAUCCUAUAGCAGGGAGAUAGGGUUUGGAACGCGAAGAGCACCGCAGUUGCGGCGGUGUCUGGACCUUCCCCCCGGACCUUGAAAAUCCGGGUGAGGGCUACGCGGAAGUCGCGCCGGAUCGUACCCAUAUCCGCAGCNGGUCUCCANGGUUAAGAGCCUCUAGUCGAUAGAAUAAUGUAG